rnacentral:rRNA from 1 species
AAUGAACGCUGGCGGCAGGCCUAACACAUGCAAGUCGAACGGGUCCUUCGGGACUAGUGGCGGACGGGUGAGUAACGCGUGGGAACGUGCCCCUUGGUACGGAAUAGCCCCGGGAAACUGGGAGUAAUACCGUAUGUGGUCGAGAGACGAAAGAUUUAUCGCCAAGGGAUCGGCCCGCGUUGGAUUAGGUAGUUGGUGGGGUAAUGGCCUACCAAGCCGACGAUCCAUAGCUGGUUUGAGAGGAUGAUCAGCCACACUGGGACUGAGACACGGCCCAGACUCCUACGGGAGGCAGCAGUGGGGAAUCUUAGACAAUGGGGGAAACCCGUGAUCUAGCCAUGCCGCGUGAUCGAUGAAGGCCUUAGGGUUGUAAAGAUCUUUCAGGUGGGAAGAUAAUGACUGUACCACCAGAAGAAGCCCCGGCUAACUCCGUG